rnacentral:lncRNA from 1 species
AGACUCAAGUUGGGCAACUUGCCAAGCAACUCGCGGAACAACAAACCGGUCCUUCCUUUUCGGCAAACACGCAAACAAAUCCUAAGGAGCAUUGUAAGGCGAUCAUGACGAGAAGUGGGAGGGAGUUGGGUAGUGAGAAUGAAAAAAGAGUUGAGAGUGAACAAAGAGAGAAAGAGAAAGAAAUUGAGGAGGAAAUAUUGGAGGAAAAUGUU